rnacentral:rRNA from 1 species
AGAUGCUCACUGGGCAUAAAGCGUGCGCAGGCGGUUUGUAAGACAGAGGUGAAAUCCCCGGGCUCAACCUGGGAACUGCCUUUGUGACUGCAAGGCUGGAGUGCGGCAGAGGGGGGAUGGAAUUCCGCGUGUAGCAGUGAAAUGCGUAGAUAUGCGGAGGAACACCGAUGGCGAAGGCAAUCCCCUGGGCCUGCACUGACGCUCAUGCACGAAAGCGUGGGGAGCAAACA